rnacentral:lncRNA from 1 species
UUUAAGGGUUUUUUUUGGAUGCUGUCUGUAGGCUUGGGUUCCUUAACUGCAAACAGAAGAAAUGCACUGAAAUUACUGCUGGGCUUCAGCCAAAUAUGAGGAGACUCCUGUAAGUCUUGUCAGACCCUACGCAGACAGAUUUGGACCAGACUCCCUCUUCAUUCAACAGACCUGAACUGAUGAAAGUCAAAAACAUUCUCUCUUCAUCAGAAGAUAAUAUGACUUAUGAUGAGCAAAAGGCAAACCAGGAGAAGGCACUUUUGAAAAACUAUUUGAGGGUGACUACCAGGCCACUUUGCUCCAUCAGCCUCUCAUUUAGAUUAAAGGUAAU